AUUGAACGCUGGCGGCAGGCCUAACACAUGCAAGUCGAGCGAGCGGCGGACGGGUGAGGAAUGUAUGGGGACUGCCCGAUAGCGGGGGAUAACUACUGGAAACGGUAACUAAUACCGCAUACUAUCGGAUAACCCAUAUGGGAUUAGCUAGUAGGUGAGGGAAUGGCUCACCUAGGCGACGCUCCCUAGCUGGUCUGAGAGGAUGAGCAGCCACACGGGGAGUGAGACACGGCCCAGACUCCUACGGAGGCAGCAGUGGGGAAUAUUGCACAAUGGGCGCAAGCCUGAUGCAGCCAUGCCGCGUGUAUGAAGAAGGCCCUAGGGUUGUAAAGGACUUUCAGUCGGGAGGCGUUACCGACAGAAGAAGCACCGGCUAACUCCGUGCCAGCAGCCGCGGUAAUUC
rnacentral:rRNA from 1 species